CUCUUCUCUCUCUCCAACUCUCCAGGUGCCAAAGGAAACCAAUGAAAUCCAGGAUUCAUCUACUCAGGACUCCAGGCUUACCAGUUCAGAUUUGGCCCCAGGGCCACCUUGGCCAUGGGAGGACACCCAGGGCACCCUCAACCUCCAGCCUGAUGGGAGUGCGCUGGCUUCCCUCUCUGCUCACGAGAUGCCAUCUGCUGAGGAGGAGGAUGAGGAGGAGGGCAGCCUUUCAAUCGAGGAUGAAGGCCUUGAGCUGCUGAACUCCACCUACAAUAAAAUCACCAGCCCCGGCAGGCCGGCGCUCAGGAGAACCUCAGGAGCCUCCAUCAAGCCCCCUCGAGCAGCCAAGAAGGACCAUGGCUCAGACCAGGAGGAGAACAUCACCACGGAGAAGCUGUCGGGGGACGCGGGCACACGGCGGCUCCUGCCCAGCAAACCCUUCCCCAAGGAGUCCCUCCCUGCUCAUCGGGGGGCUGCUCCCAAAGGAAACGUCCCCAAAGGUCCCCUCAGGGCAGGGGCAGGGCUGGGUGGCCCAAAGGCUCCUCCUGGAGCGGGACAUCCUGG
rnacentral:lncRNA from 1 species